rnacentral:rRNA from 1 species
UACGUAGGUGGCAAGCGUUAUCCGGAAUUAUUGGGCGUAAAGCGCGCGCAGGUGGUUUCUUAAGUCUGAUGUGAAAGCCCACGGCUCAACCGUGGAGGAUCAUUGGAAACUGGGAGACUUGAGUGCAGAAGAGGAAAGUGGAAUUCCAUGUGUAGCGGUGAAAUGCGUAGAGAUAUGGAGGAACACCAGUGGCGAAGGCGACUUUCUGGUCUGCAACUGACACUGAGGCGCGAAAGCGUGGGGAGCAAACAGG